UACGUAGGGUGCAAGCGUUGUCCGGAAUUAUUGGGCAUAAAGAGCUCGUAGGCGGUUUGUCGCGUCUGCUGUUAAAACCCGAGGCUCAACCUCGGGCCUGCAGUGGGUACGCGCAGACUAGAGUGCGGUAGGGGAGAUUGGAAUUCCUGGUGUAGCGGUGGAAUGCGCAGAUAUCAGGAGGAACACCAAUGGCGAAGGCAGAUCUCUGGGCCGUAACUGACGCUGAGGAGCGAAAGCAUGGGGAGCGAACAGG
rnacentral:rRNA from 1 species